UCCUACCUGCCUUUCUUUAGCAUGGGACCCUCCAGAAGAGCCUGUGUACGGAUAGCAUAAUUCCCGCCCGCCCCCCAGAAGACAGAGGAAAAUCAAGAUGAGGGAGGAGCUCCGAGUAAGGGAGGCAGAAACAUAUGCGCUGCUCGUCCAGCAGGUGGCAAUGACAGCACGUGGCUAGGCUGAGAGGCAGCCCAGACCCGAGGACCAGCGCCAGGGCUGUUUUUGCUCAUCUCCAAGGCUGAUUCCAGGACCUGGUACCUGCCAUCGCUUGAGCCCUCGGCUGAUCUUAUCUCAGGGGACUGUGCAGAAGAGGAAAUGGAAAGAUUGAAAGAGCCAGAGGAGAUGGAGGACACAGAGGAAACAAGGCCUUCUACCCACAACAGGACUGAUGCACAUAUGAACUUACAAAGAUUGUGGCAGAAUGCACAGGGCCUGCCAGGGUUGGACACUGAGAGGCAGACCACUGAUUGCCUGGAGCUAGAAGACCGACUGUAAAAGGUACAAGAAGCAUGACCCCUUUGAGAGAAAAGAAAGCCAGAGUGGUAAAAGCUUAUUAGCUAUCUGCAAACAGAAUUUCAGUGUUUUUUUUUUAAAUACCUUCGAACUGAACAAAAGGAAAAUUCUUCUACACAUUGUGCAGCUGGUGCCUCUCCUUCAGAGACAAUAUCAAAGGACAAUUAAGACACUGGCUCUGGAAAUAGACUGUCUCGAAAUCCUAAGCUCCUCUAUCAGCACAUCUGUGACCUAAAGCACUGGCUUCACAACUGUGUUGUGGACACUGUGUUCUAUUAAAACUAUGUCCUGAACCCUAAUCCCAAGUGUUGUGUUAGGAGGUGAAGGCUUGGGGAGAUGAAAAUUCACCAGAGAAGAGCAUUUGCAAAUGGGAUGAAUGCUCUUACAAAAAAGGGAACAACAACAACAAAAAUCCACGUCUUCCCAGCUACCAUGUGUGGAAACAGCAAAAAGAUAUCAUUCAUGAAUGAGAAAAUCAACCUUCAUAUGUCACAGGCUCUGUGAGUUUCUUCAUCAUUGGCUUGCCAGCUUCCCAAACCAUGAAGCCACCCAGUUUAACCUGUUUCUUCAUAAUAGUACAAAUAUAACUAUGUCUUAAUUUCUACAAUUAUGAAAUAGAUAUGAUAAUACUAAUUUUGUAGGAAUGUGAUAACAUUUACAUAGGUGAUUAUGUGUGAAUCCAUGAAAGUGGCACAUCAAUUAUGUCACAAAGGAAGGUCCUGGUCUCUUCUUGGAAGCCCUUAACAAUGACCAUAUCUAAGGUAUAUAUAUAUUCUCCAUCACAGAGCCAAAAGUUUGUCUUCUUGACACUAUUGUAAAUAUUUCCUAAUAUAUUUGUUCCUCUAUGGCACAUACAGAAGCAAAUGUUCAAAGUGAAAAUCUAUUCUAGAAUCGUGAAUUAAAUUUAAUACAUCAUUUUAAGAAACAAUUGAGCAGCCAGUACUGGUGGUGCAUGUGUAUAAUCCCAGCGCUUGCAGAGUUCCUGGCAGGCAGAUCUAUGUGAGUUUGAGGCCAGCCUGGUCUACAAAGCAAUUCCACAACAGACAAGACUACACAGAGAAGCCCUGUCUUGAAAAAAAAAUAAUUAAAAGUCAAAACAGUAAAUGUUGCUUUGUGAAACCUUUGUUUCAAUCAUUUAAGUAUGCACCCCUAGGACACAGUGGGCCUUUUGCUUUUUCCUGCCUGUUAUAAUCAAUAUGUCUAAAAGUAACUAUAGUAGAAUAUUGGCCUGUGAAGAAAUAAAGCUAUUGGUCUCAUUCAAAUUCUCUCCAGAACAUUAAGAUGCUAUUGUGGAAAAAUUGCCUCAUCAGGCUAUGUCACAUUCAUGUGGGAAAUAAACAGAGAAAGAAUAUAUGCAAUUAAUGAAGUUUUUAAUUUAACUGACAUUCGUUGAGGAAUGGCAGAAUC